rnacentral:lncRNA from 1 species
AUGGACGUGUUAGCUAACACUACAACGACAAUGAAAUUGCAAUAUAUAAAUGUAUCAAGUCAACAUGUCACAAGUUACGCAAUGUUUUAUGUCAAAUAUAUUUUUUUUACAAAGGUGGAAUUUCUGUGUUUUGCUGAUGAGAAAAAGAAGAAUCAAGAUGGCUUCAUGCGAGACAGUGAGUGUGUCGUGGGCAGGACAAUUAAACUGAAAUAUGGCCCAGCUAAGCGUAAGAGCUGUUCUAAUGGGAAGGUCAAGAAACCCGACGGCAAACCUUUCAGAGAGAACAAGACACUGGCAGUGGGAGAGUCAAGACCAAGAGUCUGAGGGUAAGGAGAGGAGAAAGAGACAGAAGCUAGAGAAGAGAAAGACUCCCAGAAGCUCCCAGAGGCUCCCAGAGGUGGACCUGGAUUGGAUUGAAAGCCAUUUUGAAGGGAGAGGCAAGGGCAUCUUUGCACCCUCUGCUCUGCUUCUUGAGUGAACAAGACUCUGUCAGAUUGUUCUCUUUCUGGUAACAAUCUGGACCUGCAACCUCUUCUGGAUGCCAGACAAGAUGGAGGGGUCACGAUAAUAAAGACUUUCACGAGUUUUCUCA